rnacentral:rRNA from 1 species
UACGGAGGGGGCUAGCGUUGUUCGGAAUUACUGGGCGUAAAGCGCACGUAGGCGGCUUUGCAAGUUAGAGGUGAAAGCCCGGGGCUCAACUCCGGAAUUGCCUUUAAAACUGCAUCGCUAGAAUUGUGGAGAGGUAAGUGGAAUUCCGAGUGUAGAGGUGAAAUUCGUAGAGACCCGGAGGAACACCAGUGGCGAAGGCGGCGUCCUGGCCUGCUACUGACGCUGUGGCGCGAAAGCUAGGGGAGCGAACGGG